AUUGAACGCUGGCGGCAGGCCUAACACAUGCAAGUCGAACGAGUGGCGGACGGGUGAGUAAUGUUUGGGAAUCUGCCUCAUGGAGGUGGAUAACUACUGGAAACGGUAGCUAAUACCGAAUACCAUAAGUUGUGCCCCGGUGGGAUUCGCUUGUUGGUGGGGUAAAGGCUCACCAAGGCGACGAUCCCUAGCUGGGCUGAGAGGAUGACCAGCCACACUGGGACUGAGACACGGCCCAGACUCCUACGGGAGGCAGCAGUGGGGAAUAUUGCGCAAUGGGGGCAACCCUGAUGCAGCCAUGUCGCGUGAAUGAAGAAGGCCUUCGGGUUGUAAAGUGCUUUCGGGAGGGAGGAGUGAACCGCAGAAGAAGCACCGGCUAACUCCGGGCCAGCAGCCGCGGUAAUUC
rnacentral:rRNA from 1 species